rnacentral:tRNA from 1 species
GGGCCUGUAGCUCAGCUGGGAGAGCGCUGCAUUCGCAUUGCAGAGGUCGGCGGUUCGAGCCCGCUCAGGUCCACCA